rnacentral:rRNA from 1 species
GAUAGUGAACCAGUACCGUGAGGGAAAGGUGAAAAGAACCCCGAACAGGGGAGUGAAAUAGAACCUGAAACCAUACGCUUACAACCGGUCGGAGCAGUUUCGUGCUGUGACGGCGUGCCUAUUGAAUAAUGAGCCUACGAGUUACUAAUCACUGGCGAGGUUAAGUGCACGGAUGCACGGAGCCGAAGCGAAAGCGAGUCUGAACAGGGCGGCUAGUCAGUGGUUGUAGACGCGAAACCUUGCGAUCUACCCUUGAGCAGGUUGAAGGUUGGGUAAAACCAACUGGAGGACCGAACGAAUAAGCGUUGAAAAGCUUCUCGAUGACUUGAGGGUAGGGGUGAAAGGCUAAUCAAGCUGGGAAAUAGCUCGUACUCCCCGAAAUGCCUUUAGGGGCAGCGUUGUAAUUAAGAGUCUACUGGAGGUAGAGCUACUGAUUGGAUGCGGGGGCUUCACCGCCUACCAAAUCCUGACAAACUCCGAAUGCCAGUAGUAUGAUUUACAGCAGUGAGCGACCGGGUGCUAAUGUCCGGUUACGAGAGUGGAACAACACAGACCAGCAACUAAGGUCCCGAAGAGUAUACUAAGUUGAUCUAACGAUGUUUUGCUGCAGAGACAGCUAGGAUGUUAGCUUGGAAGCAGCUAUUCAUUCAAAGAGUGCGUAACAGCUCACUAGUCGAGCGGCAAAGCGUGGAUAAUAAACGGGCAUCAAGUAUACCACCGAAGUUCUGGGCACGAAAGUGCGGUAGGGGAGCAUUCCAUUGACGUCGAAGCCAUUCCGCGAGGAUAGGUGGAGUUUAUGGAAAAGCAAAUGUAGGCAUGAGUAACGAUAAUGCGGGAGAGUAACCCGCACACCGCAAGACCAAGGUUUCCUGAUCAACGCUAAUCGGAUCAGGGUUAGUCGGGUCCUAAGGGUAAGCCGAACGGUGAUCUCGAUGGACAAUCGGUUAAUAUUCCGAUACUAACAUAUACCUCGAUGGAGAGACGAAGGAACGUAAGUGACGCCGCCUGACGGAAUAGGUGGUUAAAGGGCGUAGGUAUAGGGACAGAUUAAGAGUUAGUCCUUGCUGAAAUCCGACAGUACGGAGCGGCUACGGCCAAUCUGAUAGUUCACCCAAGUCGACUUCCGAGAAAAUCUUCUAAGUUAUAGUAUAUGUUACCCGUACCGUAAACCGACACAGGUGGUCGAGGAGAGUAUCCUAAGGUGCUCGAGUGAAUCACGGUUAAGGAACUAGGCAAAUUAACCCCGUAACUUCGGGAAAAGGGGUCCCUACGCGAGUAGGGCGCAGCGAAGAGGUCCAGGCGACUGUUUAUCAAAAACACAGGGCUCUGCAAAUUCGAAAGAAGACGUAUAGGGCCUGACACCUGCCCGGUGCUGGAAGGUUAAGAGGGGAUGUCAUCGCAAGAGAAGCAUUGAAUCGAAGCCCCAGUAAACGGCGGCCGUAACUAUAACGGUCCUAAGGUAGCGAAAUUCCUUGUCGGGUAAGUUCCGACCUGCACGAAUGGUGUAACGAUCUGGACACUGUCUCAACCGUGAGCUCGGUGAAAUUGUAGUCCCGGUGAUGAUGCCGGGUACCCGCAACGGGACGAAAAGACCCCGUGAACCUUUACUAUAGCUUAACGCUGAAUUUGGGUACACAAUGUGUAGGAUAGGCCGGAGACAUUGAAGCGGGUACGCCAGUAUUCGUGGAGUCAACGUUGAAAUACGGCCCUUUGUGUACUUGGAUUCUAACCCUUGAUAGGGGACACCGUUUGGUGGGUAGUUUGACUGGGGUGGUCGCCUCCAAAAGCGUAACGGAGGCUUCCCAAGGUACCCUCAGCACGAAUGGUAACCGUGCGCAGAGUGCAAUAGCAUAAGGGUGCUUGACUGUGAGACUUACAAGUCGACCAGGUGCGAAAGCAGGGUAUAGUGAUCCGGUGGUUCUGUGUGGACUGGCCAUCGCUCAAAGGAUAAAAGGUACUCCGGGGAUAACAGGC